GACGAACGCUGGCGGCGUGCUUAACACAUGCAAGUCGAACGGAAAGGCCCUGCUUUUGUGGGGUGCUCGAGUGGCGAACGGGUGAGUAACACGUGAGUAACCUGCCCUUGACUUUGGGAUAACUUCAGGAAACUGGGGCUAAUAUCGGAUAGGAGCUCCUGCUGCAUGGUGGGGGUUGGAAAGUUUCGGCGGUUGGGGAUGGAUUCGCGGCUUAUCAGCUUGUUGGUGGGGUAGUGGCUUACCAAGGCUUUGACGGGUAGCCGGCCUGAGAGGGUGACCGGCCAAAUUGGGACUGAGAUACGGCCCAGACUCCUACGGGAGGCAGCAGUGAGGAGUAUUGCACAAUGGGCAGAAGCCUGAAGAAGCAACGCCGCGUACGGGAUGAGUGCCUUCAGGUUGUAAACCGCUUUCGCCUGUGACGAAGCGUGAGUGACGGUAAUGGGUAAAGAAGCACCGGCUAACUACGUG
rnacentral:rRNA from 1 species